CUCAUUACAGGAGAUCCACAGGAGGAAGUGAUGCCACAGCAGACACACAGAGUGUCCGUCCUGACUGUAACAGUGACACGUACACAGGUCUGAACAUGAGGACCAUGUCCCUGACUACGACACUCUGAGAAGUGUCCAUCCUGACCCUAACAGUGAUACGUACACACCUCUGAACAUGAAGACCAGGUCACCAGAGUAUGAAACCCUGGCAAAUGUGAGGGGAAUCUCCCACUGAAGAGAAGCACCACAGAACCUGGACUGAAGAGAACAACCACAGAUCCUGGACUGAAGAGAACCACCAACAUUGAACCUGGACUGAAAAUGAUCACCACACAACCUGGACUGAAGGUUCCAAUACAAAACUUGGCCUUACACCUCUAUUCUAUUGCUGCCAUAUCUAGAAGUUUUUCCACACAAUGAACUUUAACUUUUCAGUAAAUGCUGGAAUAUAUAUUUUGGAAUGGAAUAUAUUGAUGAUAAAUGAGAUGUGUUAUAUUUUUUUAAUGUAAAUCUGUUUACUAUCUUUAGUUUUAUUUCUGAUCUGUUUCUAUGGGAUUUUGCCAUAUACAGAUGUUUUAUAACAUCAAUAGUCCUACUUUCCUCAGCAACUAAUGUGGAUCAUAUUGAAAACAGCUUUUUAAUAUUUUUAGCUCUUGGGCCAAGUUUCUCCAGAUGUGUUUCAUGAUGAUUAACUUUGUAUUGCUGUCAGAUAUUAUUACUAAUUUUAUAUUACGUAAUAACAUAUUGUUCCGUCAUGAUAUAUUUUUUAUUUUAAAAUAAAUGUAAUCAGUCCGUUAUUAUAAUUUCCAACAUUUUGGCAGGCUAUUUGUUAGUCAACUUGUCUAUCAUUUCUAAAUACAUGCAGUGGCGACACGUCAUUCAAGGCAGCUGAGGCAGAGCUAAAUCUGUUUUCAGCCUCAUGGUUAGCUUUUUUUGUUGCUUGUUUUGCAUAUUUUGAAAUUAAUACGUGACACAUAUAAGUUUGCAAAUAAAGUUAAGAAAUAAAUAAAGCAUUGAGUUAAUAGUCGCAU